GGGAGAUGAAGAGUGGUCAACGCUUGCAUUUAAAUAUACAAGAUGGGGUGUCCGCCUAAAGCCUGUUACGACAAUUGGACACCUCCAUUUUUAAACCAUCUGAUCCC
rfam:Helianthus annuus linkage group 4, whole genome shotgun sequence.